AUACUUACACCUGGCAGGGGAGAUACCACGAAGGUGGCUUUCCCAGGUGGAGGCUUACCCCUUGCACUCCCGAUUGCUGACCCCUGCAAUUUUCCCAAAUGUGGGACACUCGAUAGCACCAUUUGUGGUAGCCGGGGACUGCGUUCUCACUCUCUUUUG
rfam:Myotis lucifugus cont2.34475, whole genome shotgun sequence.